rnacentral:misc_RNA from 1 species
CGCACAUUGCGCUCUCCGGUAGCCCGGGGAGCAUGCCUGUUCGAGCGUCAUUUUAAACCAUCAAGCUCAGCUUGGUUUUGGAGCCUCAUCUCGCUAUGCGUGAGGUGGGCCUUGAAAUGAUUGGCGGCCGAGUUGUCUACUAAGCGCAUUGAAUUUUUACUACGUUUAUGAGAGACUUCUUGUUUGUCUUGCCACUAAUGACACAAACAACCUCAAGGUUGACCUCGGAUCAGGUAGGGGUACCCGCUGAACUUAA